GUGCCAGCCGCCGCGGUAAUACAGGGGGAACUAGUAUUAUUCGGAAUAAUUGGGCGUAAAGGGUAUGUAGGCGGUUAAUAACGUUGAAAGUAAAAGACCAUAAUUGUUAUUUUGGAUGAAAUUUCAAAACGAGUUAACUUGAGUUUGAUACAGGAUAGCGGAAUUUCUAGUGUAGAGAUAAAAUUCGUAAAUAUUAGAAGGAACACCAUUUGGCGAAAGCAGCUAUCUCGUUCUAAAUACUGACGCUGAUAUACUAAAGCAUGGGUAGCAAACGGGAUUAGAAACCCUUGUAGUCC
rnacentral:rRNA from 1 species